rnacentral:rRNA from 1 species
AUUGAACGCUGGCGGAAUGCUUUACACAUGCAAGUCGAACGGCAGCACGGACUUCGGUCUGGUGGCGAGUGGCGAACGGGUAAGUAAUAUAUCGGAACGUGCCCAGUCGUGGGGGAUAACGUAGCGUAAGUUACGCUAAUACCGCAUACGAUCUAUGGAUGAAAGCGGGGGACCGCAAGACCUCGCGCGAUUGGAGCGGCCGAUAUCAGAUUAGGUAGUUGGUGGGGUAAAGGCUCACCAAGCCCACGAUCUGUAGCUGGUCUGAGAGGCCGUCAAGCAACACUGGAACUGGGCCACGGCUCAUAGUCCUACGGGAGGCAGCAGUUGGGAAUUAUGUACAAUGGACGCAAGUAUGAGUCAGCCAUUCCGCGUGCAGUAUGCAGGCCUGUGGGUUGUAAACUGCUUUUGUACGGAACGAAAAGGUCGCCAAUAAUACUGGGAGCUCAUGACGGUACCGUAAGAAUAAGCACCGGCUAACUACGUGCCAGCCGCCGCGGUAACAC